GAAGCUGAUGGAGCACACCGCGUGCAGGAUGAAGGCUUCGGGUCGUAACUGCUUUUACUAGUGACGAAUAUGACGGUAACUAGAGAAUAAGGAUCGGCUAACUACGUGCCAGCAGCCGCGGUCAUACGUAGGAUCCAAGCAUUAUCCGGAAUUACUGGGCGUAAAGAGUUGCGCAGGUGGCAUUGCAAGCAGAACAUGAAAUCGUGUGGCUCAACUAUACGGCUAUGUUCUGAACUGCAAAGCUAGAGAGCAAGAGGGGUAGAUGGAAUUACUAGUGUAGGAGUGAAAUCCGUAGAUAUUAGUAGGAACACCGAUAGCGUAGGCAGUCUACUGGCUUGUUUCUGACACUAAGGCACGAAAGCGUGGGGAGCGAACGGGAUUAGAUACCCCGGUAGUCCACGCCGUAAACGAUGGAUGCUAGCUGUGAGUCGUAUCGACCCGACUCGUAGCGAAGCUAACGCGUUAAGCAUCCCGCCUGUGGAGUACGAACGCAAGUUUAAAACAUAAAGGAAUUGACGGGGACCCGCACAAGCGGUGGAGUGUGUUGUUUAAUCCGAUGCUAAACGA
rnacentral:rRNA from 1 species